UACGGAGGGUGCAAGCGUUAAUCGGAAUUACUGGGUGUAAAGCGCGUGUAGGCGGCUUGUUAAGCCAGCUGUGAAAUCCCCGGGCUCAACCUGGGAAUUGCAGUUGGAACUGGCAGGCUAGAGUACAGUAGAGGGGUGUGGAAUUUCAGGUGUAGCGGUGAAAUGCGUAGAUAUCUGAAGGAACAUCAGUGGCGAAGGCGACACCCUGGACUGAUACUGACGCUGAGGUGCGAAAGCGUGGGGAGCAAACAGG
rnacentral:misc_RNA from 1 species